rnacentral:rRNA from 1 species
CGUACCUCGUAGGUGGGAGACCGCGAAAGCCGGACUAAUACCGCAUAUGCUCUACGGAGGAAAGUGGGGGACCUGCAAGGGCCUCACGCUAUGGGAGCGGCCGAUGUCCGAUUAGCUUGUUGGCGGGGUAAUGGCCCACCAAGGCGACGAUCGGUAGCUGGUCUGAGAGGAUGAUCAGCCACACUGGGACUGAGACACGGCCCAG